ACUCAGUGGCCGAGUGGAUAACGCGAUGGUGUUUCAAGCGAAAGUGUACUGGGUUCGAGUCCCAGAGUUA
rnacentral:tRNA from 1 species